rnacentral:rRNA from 1 species
UCUGGUGAUUAUGGCUUGAAGGUAACACCCGUUCCCAUGCCGAACACGAAGGUUAAGCUUCAAAGCGCUGAUGGUACUGCAGGGGA